rnacentral:rRNA from 1 species
GACGAACGCUGGCGGCGUGCUUAACACAUGCAAGUCGAACGGAAAGGCCCUGCUUUUGUGGGGUGCUCGAGUGGCGAACGGGUGAGUAACACGUGAGUAACCUGCCCUUGACUUUGGGAUAACUUCAGGAAACUGGGGCUAAUACCGGAUAGGAGCUCCUGCUGCAUGGUGGGGGUUGGAAAGUUUCGGCGGUUGGGGAUGGACUCGCGGCUCAUCAGCUUGUUGGUGGGGUAGUGGCUUACCAAGGCUUUGACGGGUAGCCGGCCUGAGAGGGUGACCGGCCACAUUGGGACUGAGAUACGGCCCAGACUCCUACGGGAGGCAGCAGUGGGGAAUAGUGCACAGUGGGCGGAAGCCUGAUGCAGCAACGCCGCGUGCGGGAUGACGGCCUUCGGGUUGUAAACCGCUUUCGCCUGUGACGAAGCGUGAGUGACGGUAAUGGGUAAAGAAGCACCGGCUAACUACGUG